UCAUCCAACUGAGCCACCCAGGUGCUCCAAGAAAUCUUUAAAGGAGGACUGCAGGUGCUGCCCUCGCCCAGGUGGAGCCACAGCUGCUGGUGCUCAAGGAACAGUCCUCUACCAACAAGCUUCCGUGAAUCUCUCUGGAGUCAAUGUCCCAGGAUGCACUGUUCUCAUGUUAGUCACAACUUCUCUUCAAAAGGAAAAUAACGCUAACUAAACUGAGAGGUGUGAAAAUGGAGUAGAGGAGUGAGCAGGGGACUAGGAUACUUCACAUCAGGCAGAGUUUUCAACAACUGUGCUAUAGCCUCAACCUCAUUGUUUUCAGGAUUCCACCAUGACAUCUCAGAUUUCGUAUGUUCCU
rnacentral:lncRNA from 1 species